AGCUCCAAUAGCGUAUAUUAAAUUUGUUGCGGCUAAAAAGCUCGUAGUUGGAUUUCUGCUGAGGACGACCGGUCCGCCCUCUGGGUGAGUAUCUGGCUUGGCCUCAGCAUUUUCUUGGGGAACGUAAGUGCACUUGAGGAAAUUAGACUGUUUCAAGCAGGCGCACGCCUUGAAUACAUUAGCAUGGAAUAAUAAGAUAGGACCUUGGUUCUAUUUUGUUGAUUACUACACGUGAGGAAUUGAUUAAUAAGGAUAGUUGGGGGCAUUCGUAUUUAAGUGUCAGAGAUGAAAUUCUUGGAUUUGUUCAAGACGGACUACUGCGAAAGCAUUUGCCAAGGAUGUUUUCAUUG
rnacentral:rRNA from 1 species